GUCCUUACUGCUGCUCUCAUCCCCAGCGCUUCUCUGGAGUGCCUCAGGAGGGACUGGGAGCUGCUGCGUUAAGCAUUCUCUUCCCCAUGGGGAGUGGGAAGAGCGGGGUGAAGCAGACAGGCGCCUGUUCGGCAGGAGCUGUGGGUAAGAACACAGAGGUGUAGCGUGUGUGAUACCAUGUUACCGUCACAUCUACUUGAGUAGCGCAUUCCAUCUCAAAUGAUAAGUACGUGGCUCAUAAUACCUCCUAGUAUAUUUAUAAGGCUGUAAACCACACUGCUGAGAAGCCAGCUCUAAAACAAUACCCACACAGCAUUUGUAACAGGUAGAAUGGACCCAGGCUCACCAGUUUGAACACAGCCUGAUAGCUCUGAAAAGGCAUCCUAGAAGGUCGUAGUAGCCCAUCAUGCCUCACUGUGCAUAGACACUCUUCCUCACAUAGCACUGAGACAUGCUGGCAUCCUCAUUUCUUGGCUAGUUGUUCUGUCACCAGGCCAGAUGCUCAGAAUGGAGCAGCAUGAGGUGCAAAAGGAAUCAGGGAACUUGUGAAUAAGAAGAACAUACUCAUAAUUUUGCAGCUGGAAAAUUUCCCAUUAACUUAGCAACAGAGCUGGCCCAGGACAUCACAGAGCAGACCUGUUCCAAAAUUAAGAAGCCGAAGUGUACUUGUACAGCUGUGUUAGAGCAAACUGUAUGUCCUGAAGGUGUGUUGGACUUGUACAUGGUGAGGUUGUGACAGCAACACCUGAAGAAACAUGAAAGCCUUAAUUCACUCACAAAUCCCUCCAGCCUGCAGAGGCUGGCUGUGCAGGACUUAUCACACAAGGAUGUCAGAUGCUGCUGGUGGGAAGCUUUUCUCUGAGGCUUCUGCAAAGCUGCCUCCACACACACAGUGCCAAAUCUUUUAGCACAGUAAGGGCUAGAGCACAGUCCCAAUCACACAGCCAGGGAGGGCCUUCUGCCUUAAAUGUGCAACAUAACAGCAAUAAAAGAGAGGAGAACAGGCACUGCCAAUCUCUGCUUCUGUGACCAUUUAGGAGCCAAAAAAAAAAAAAAAAGAAAAACCCAAACAAAAAAAAAAAAAAAGGGAGAAAAGAGCCAGAAAUGCAACUUCUUUGUGAGACCAUUCUUCCCAGUGUCAGUCCUAACUGACACCAUUGCUGAGCCUCUAAGCACAGCAUACUGACACUGCACUUCAAGUUGCUUUAUGAAAAAGGAAAGGUAGCCAAGCUGCAGACUUCACAAGGUAGAAGUGCCCAGCAUCCCAGCAGAAUUUGCUCCAGCUAUGAACUCAUCUCACAGGCAUUGAAGGCAUAGUGGGCAGCAUUUCCUGGAGCUGAGGACAGACAGUGAGGAGCUUCUUCAUCUCACAAAAGUAAAAGGUGGACGUGAGUGAUUGGUCCGUGUCAGGAUAUACUGUUUACAUGCCACAAGACUUGGGAAUCUGAGGUCAUAUUCACUGCUACUGAGCCACUAGAAGUACAGGUUUGAAGCAGUAUUAGUACAGUCCAAGAAACACAGAAGAGAAAAUGAAAUGAAAGACGGCAAUGGGUCCUUUAAUCCAGAGUUUCUUAUUCUGUGGGAUGUAUUUUGCCAAGAAGACAUAAACAAAUCAUCCUCACCACAGAGUGAUGUCCUGUAAUGAAUGUGCUAGAGACACUAAUUAACUGUAAAUGAGACCAACACAGUUGAGAUGUGUUGCUCCAAUCUUCUGCCUCUUAGGACACGAUCUGCACUGACAGGUGUUUGUCUACUUCCUGUGAUGCCAAAUCAUAUCAAAAUUGAUGAAGAAUCAGAGAAAUUGCCACUGAUGUGCUGCUGAUGGGGGCAAUCUCCUCCAGGUAAAUGGGAGUCUGACCACACUGGAGAUGUUGCAGGUACUUCUCCUCAGAGUGACUAGACUCAAUUCUGAAUAUAGCUGAUAGACAUAAAAGACCUAGUUCCUUGGCUUUCACUUUUCUUAUACUUUAAAUAAUUCUCAUACUUUCAGAAGUUUAGCCCAUUUCUUUCUGACAAAUGAGAACUGAGGCCUGCAUGCAGCCUUGCAAUUUCAGGAACACAAAUAUACUUGUAGUAUGAUUUUAUUGGCUAGGUUCAUAAUAGGUUUUUCUAGCAAAUGCCAAUAUUGAAAAACCAAACAUAGACAAGAGUUGAAAGAUUAGAAUUGAUAGUGCAGUCAAAGUUCGAUACUGUUUAAUGAAGUUUUCAUUAAAACUGCUUCUUAUCACUAGAUCUGUUGUCAAGGGUUGCGUUUAUCUACUUUCUGGUGUACCAGUGAAAAGAAAGGCAGUUUUUAAUUUAUCUUCAUCCUACUGAAGUAGAACGAUUGUAAAAUAGCUGUACAAGGGUCAGUCUCCAGUAUGAGUAGUCUGAUCAAACAGAAUGUGCAUAACCCAUUUUCCUCACUCUCCUUAAGUUAAUUUUUUUCCUCCCUUUUGCUUGCAUUGCAGUUUACUGCAAUUUUCUCAAAUGAAUUCAAGUCUAACAGAUCCUUUAUACAUUUUGGAUGGAAAAUAUUUCACACUCUGUAUGCAAGUUGAUUUUUGGCAGAAUUUUGGAAUCAGCUGUAGUCAAAAGGUACACUAAAAAUCACAGGUUAUGAUUACUGUUAAUUCGUUCCCUCCAUUCCUCCUUCUGUUUCCUCUCUUGCAUUUGUGACAAUGCAACCUACCCCUUUUGAAGAAUUUUGUUGAGAAAAGCAAAUUACAGAAGACCACAUAAUUGAAGGAGACUACCACAACUGCUUAUAGACCAAAUCUUCAAAAGGCAUUGUAGAACAUCAAGCUUUAUAAUGAAACAGAGCAAGAAGGUGAAACAUAAUAAAACUGUAAACAAUUAGUUGAUGGUUAGUACUUGAAAAUAUUCUAGAGGAUAUGAUACAGGAAAUGUGUCUGUCUUUUGUGAGAGUAAAAGAAGUUGUGAGAAGUGCUGGAUUAAUUUCACAUGUCACUGUCAGAACAAAUGCAGAGAAUAGACUGUUUAAACUCAACAAAAGAAUCUUGGAAUAUCUAGACAUUUGGUUUAUGCAGUCAGCUCCAUUUGGCUGAUCUCAUUUACCUUCAAUUAGACUUUCCAGCAGCUUAGAAGCUCCAUAUCAGUCAAGAGAGAAGAGUUUAUAAUUGGCUACAAGUGUUCAUAUUCACUCCUUUGCCUUGGAGAAAAUAAACUGCUGUCAGCAAUUUAAGGUGGUUAUCAAUCCUGCAACCACUGUCUUAGGCUGUCCUCACUUGUUAAUGCAGCAGCUGCUGCUACCGUGAGAGAGAACUGCUGCCACAUGAUGUUUGACCAACCCACUUUAGACCCUUUCAGGACUGCCAAACAGGUGCUGGCCAUGCAUUUUGAGAAAUAAUUGUUGAGAAGAACAGUUUUCUGUUAUACCUACAGUUUUCUUGUAAGUCACCUUUGGGAAAAAGUAGUUCUGUGUGCCUGAAUGAGCUUUGGUAUUGGAGCUGGGUCAUGCACAGCAAGGUUAAAGUCAGGCAAGUUGCCAGAACAAAGUCAUUUUGCUCAGCAUUGGCUUCAGCUCUCACACAUCUGCUCUGUAAUUCAGCAGCUUGGUGCUGUCAGCCUUUGGAAGGACCAGUGCCUGAACAGAAUACAAGACAACUAUUUCUAAAUACUUCUGAGGAUCUGUGUUCAAGUACUUUUUGGUAUAACAGCAGAGCUCUAUCCCUGAAAUUUCAUCUGGGCGACCCAGAGAUGCCAAACAUUUGAAGUUAUUUUUAUGAAUGUUGUUGGAGAUAUUCAUUCUCAAAACCUCACCCUUUUUAAAAUUUUAUUCCCUAAAAUCUUGUAACUUUCUUAUAAUUUUUUUUUCUAUCGUUAAACAAAAUAGUCACAAAUAAGUGAAGCUCAGAUUCAAUGGUUUAAAUAUUUAGGCGUAUUCUUUUCUGCACAAUUUACAAUAUGCAGAAUUUCAGACACAUGUAGACAAGAUGGUUCUGCAUUAAUCAAAACAGGCACAUAGAGCUGGGGCAGUUAGUUAGCAAUGAAUUAAAAGUCAACAAGAACAAGUCCUAUCCUCAAACAUUCACAUUUUGCACAUAACUACUGUGAUUUUGUCUGUAUAUUACUGAUAGAGAUUUCUAUAUUUUUGUUUGUCUGAAAGUGUGAUACAUAUAAUAGAGGCAAAAAAUUGCAUCUGAACCAAACAACAUUUCUGAAUAUAAAAGCAGUGUUUGAGAUACAGUUCAUUAGCCUCAUUCAUUUUAAUUGUUACCCAGUCCAAAAUUAUAUCCUUUUCUAUUACACCAUAAUGACUUCUUUAAUUUGCCAGAAGUACAAAAAAUGAGCAAAAGGAAGAUCAGAAAAUCUUACUGCAGAAUUUCACAGUUUUCUCACAAAAUAUGUUUACAAAAUAUUGUUCUAAUAGAAAUUUGUAUUAAAGCAUGAAUGAUUUUAUGGUUUUGAAAUUGAUGGGAACUUCGAUAGUUCUGAAAUGGCUAGUGUUUCAUAAAUUUGCUUUAAAAUUUAAAAUUAAAUUGUUCUCUCCUUUUCUUUGACUCAUUUAUUUAGGGUUUCUCAAAUGAAUUAUUUAAACUCAAGCACUUAAUCCACAUCAACACUUUCAUUUAUGUCAUAGCUAAGUAAGCGUAGAAAUUAGGAGUAAAUAGUGUAGUUUGGCCCUGUCAUCCCCUCACUACAAACACUGGAGCUCAAAACCAGGAGAUUGAACUGGUGCAGGUGUCUGCCCAAGGAGCAGGGCUCACAAAAAUCACUGGGGUGGCCCUGGCAGCACAUGAGAAGCACAAGAGGGCCUGUGAAGCAGCUGUGUUACCAGUGAGUGAACACCUCUGCCUGUGGUUUCCCUGCUGUACUAUUCCAGGUAGUAAACAAAAUCUGGCUCACCUUGUUCUUCGCACUGGCAGCAGUUUCAGCUUGGAAAGGAGCAUCUCUUGGCUGACUUAGAACUCCCAAUUCCACCUUCUGUAAAUUUGCGUCUUGCCAAAGGAUAUUUAAAGUAAUUUUUGUUAUUUUUGGUUUGUAAGAGGAAAAAGGCACAUUCUUAAUACCUGCCUAAAAGAACUCACUAUUUUUUUACUUUUUUAAUUAUUAUUUUUUACUGAAUGGAAGAUAUGAAAGCAAGCAUUUGAAUCUUAUGAAUUCUGUAAUAAAGUUUGGAAAUGCACCAUUAACAAUGGCCUUUUACAUUAUGCACAUAUCUGAGCCACAUGGAAAUCUGAUAUUUACCUGUUCAGCUGUUUCUUUCAUGGAUCUGCAGUGCUGCAAGACAAGCAGGCAGAACUAACUCACAUCAGUACCAUUCCCAGGACCACGGUAAGGAGGCCCCGGGCUGCAGUGCCUUGUCUGUGUCUGCAGUUCCCUUAGUUUGCCACAGACACGUUUCUGCUUUGCCAAGGAUGAAGUCCUCAAGGCCACAACUGCAAUCAUGCAAGCUCUUCUGUCUCCUUUGAAAGAUGUCUCUUGCUCCUGCACAGAACUACAGGACCUGUAGGAUCACUGCCUGCUGCUACCUUACAGCAUCUACGCUCUGAUCACUCUAUUACAGCAAGCCACAGCUUGUGACAUUGCCAAAGGACAACAGAGGUGGCAAAAAGCUCCAGGUAUCUCCAGAUUCAAGGGCAGCAAAACCCACCUCCCUAGAUGGUUUCUGGAGUCCAUUCAGCUUCUGGAUCUCCUUCACUGUCCUUCAAAAGUUGUGCCAACACCAAAUGAAUCUCUGUGAUUUUCUGAUGCACUAAAAGCAUGGCAGAUGCACCAUCAAACUCAGUUUUGCCAAGCCUUAAUAGUUCUGGAUGUGCAUCGUGAGCCCCUCCUGGUGCUGAUUUCUGGACACAAAAGAUUGCUUUCAUGGUUCCAUCUCAGAAACUGCUCAGUGCUGGAGAGGUAUCACACCUGCUUCUCUUUCCAUUUUCCAAGUCUAGAAAUGUAUGGGUAUUUUUUUUUGAAUGCCAUUUCUGCCCGACUCCUUGAGAUCCAUGGCACAGCAGUGUGGUGUGUGUUAGUAAAUCUGCUGUGUCUGUGGAUGUAAUGAAAGUCUGCAGGCCAUCACCAACUGCUAUUUUCCUGUCUGGUGGAAGUCUAUACCAUCCUGGACAUCUUUGCUGUGUUCAGAGGGGAUAGCAUGCUCAGCUGUGCUAUGUAGGAUGUGAUGAUGAUAUUUUUCCCUGCUCAGUGUUCCUUGGGCAAGGCCAGUGCUUAAUACACUCUCGUGGAUGGAGAGCCCAAAAACAGUGCAUGCACACAGGACUGAACCACACCUUCUACAGGUAGAAAAUCUGAAAAUGAGCAUUACAUGCUCUAUUAUCUUUCUUUUCUUUUUCUUUGUUUUCAAUGCUGCAUACAUAAAAAAAAAAAAAAAAAAAAAAAGCCACCAAACCACCAGUGAACCCAUUUCAGUUCAACUGAUUUAAUUUUUUUUUUACCAAAUCUUCAGCUGUAACUGGUGACAAUACCAUUCCUUAAAGUUUUUUAAUACAUUUGGCAGGUAAGACCAUGAAAGCAGUAGCUCAUUAUUUUAUAUUUAUGAACCAAGCUGAGAUUCUAUAAUAUCCUGUCCUGAUGUGAUCUAUUGUUAUACUCUUAUUUCCAGCAACUUUUAUCUAACUGCUGCUAGAAAUUCUACCCAUAGGUACUGAUGCGUUGCCUUUGAAUACAAUGGCAUAUUGUUGCCUGUUCUCUCAGUUUGAUUUAUUUUGGGUGAUAAAUGAACAUCUUGAGGCAGUCAUCAGACUUUAAUUUGACUGAACAGAUCGUAACUGAAAAUCACAAUUUUCCUAGAGCACUGUUGAAGAGCAGCCAGUCAUUUUACAUUACCCAUAUAUUGUUGGCUGUUUAUUGGUUCUCUGCAACAUGCACUAGAAUGCUUUUUGCAGUAUUUACAGCACUAUUCACGUAUUUUACUAUCAAUGUUUUAUAAGCUACCAGCAGCAGGAAAAAAAAAUUACUCACAGAGCAUGUGAUACUGGGAAGAACAUAGAAAUACAACACAGUUACAUAUACACAUCCAAAAAUAUACUAAGUCGCCUCACAUACUAUGAAAGCUAAAAAAUCCUUUACAGCUGCAUAUUAUAACUUUUUUACUUUUU